CACAAAAACCCGGUGGAGAAUUUCUGGCGAGGCUUUAACAAUCUUCUGUUUGGAGUUUCUGUUUUUCUGUUACGACUGGAAGCUGUACCAGAGCAAAACGGGCACGGAGAACGGAAGCAUCGGCAGAGGGAGAACCAGCCAAGCUCUUCGAACAUCCCUCCUGCGCUCGCUCCGAAGAUGCUGGAACCAAUAAUGCAAAGGAUGGGAAGUACCACACAGCCAAGCCAAGCGUUUGCCUCCGACAGAGCACAACCUCCAGGAAGCAGAAAGUAGGUCAGGGUGAUAAGGCUGAGCACGGAUGGGGAAAGCAGAGCAGGAAGGAAACAUCCCUGGCUAGGGCUGUGCUGGGAAAGGGCCGUCUGCUGCUGCGGGCAGCUGAGUUCUGUAAUCCUUUCUCCUUCUAACCCACUGUCCCUGAAGCUGUGCCAUCAGCAGCAUGAAUGAAGGGCGAGCCUUCUGCCUGGAUUUGUGUGGGGAGAGCCUGGAAAAUCCUGCAGCUAAAUCAGGUGUUUCAGAUUUGCUGAGGUUGCAAAAGGUCCCGGAGGUGCUGUGCGUCCCGGGAAGCAAGGAAGCAUCUUUAGGCUUUGAGGAAAUUGUAAUGCUUGCAAGAGAAAUGGAAAAAAUAGCUGUGAGCUUUGUGUCACGGGUCUUAUUUAGACUCUGGUAAAACACUGCAGACUGCCCAGAAGUGCUGAAACACCCUCCACCCCCAAAAGCAACGCAGAGCAGGCGGCUGGGAUGCAGCCCAGUGCAGAAGUGGUCUCGUGGCCCCAUACUGCAGGGACAAGGGGAGAUUGGGUUGGUCCUUAUGGUGAGCCAUAAGGCUGGAGCAGCACAGGGAGCUCAGCGCUAAAACUGGAUGGCUCGAGUUCCCCAAAAUGGGCCUUUCUGCUUUAAAUAGCACCCAGAUGGUGCGAGAGGAGAUGUCAGGAAGAAUUCAAGCUGCUACUGAGAGGAGGGAGCUGGAGGAAAAGGUGCAAGUGCAGGAGCAGCAAUAGCCUCACCCAGGCUUUGCCCUAGAAACUGCAGAACCAGGGCUUGUCUGUCUGUGGGGCUUUGAUGGGGCUGAGAGGAGCUGGGCAGUAGGAGGCAGGGCGGGCAGCCACGUCCCACCCUCAGUGCAGGCACCAAACCUGCUGGGUUUGUGCUGAUGUGUGCGGAUAUGCUGAUGGCCUCAUUAAUCAUCCCCAACCUGCAGCCAUAAUUGGGCUCAUUUCACGUGGAUUCCAGGGGCUUGGGAGAAACAAUCCCAUGCUAAAGGUGAUUUAAAGAAAUGCUAGCAUGCUGCGUUUGGGUAAGGGCACAGACGUGGAUAACCCCACGCAGGACCAGGAUGGUGCUGGGGAAGGGAUGGCAUGGGUUGAAUUUCUCAUCCCUACAAAGAAAAGCCUUUUGGGACCCGUGCCCAGGGCUCUUGGUUGCUUGUGAUUUGAAGAAAGAAACAGCCAGCAAGGUUUUGCUAUCUUGAAAACAUUUUAUUUUGUCACUAGUCUGUGAUAGCAUAAAUAAUAGGCAAUGACAGCACAUGGAACGUAAAGACGGGAGCGUCGGGUGUGGGG